ACUGGAAGUACUCCGGAGAAAAUCGUUCCUGUACUCUCUUCUUCUCUUUUUUCUUCUUCUGGUAGCAAACCGGAGUAAAAAGGAGCAAAGAUUUUUUGCUCCUGUUUACUCCGGAGUGACUUCCGUAUACUGGAACAAACCUAUUGUUGAAUUGAAAUUGAUCGACAAACGAAAAUAUCAAUCCAACAAUGAAAACGGAAGCCUUUGUACUUGUGCCACAUACUAAACCACCGAAACCGACCUGAUUACACUGCAGAAGAAUAACUACUUGUGAUGGAGUAGUAGGUAUAAGCAAUCCAAUAAUGAUUCCCAUCCACGGGUGUCAUUUUGUGGUUUACGUGUUGUUUGAUUGUCCGAUAUGAGAAAUGAAAAAUCUUUAGUUAUUUCAUGCCGUAAAUAUGCUUCGCAAAAUACCGAACCGAAGACCAAUCUGUAUUGAAACAUCGACGACUACAGAACGCGCUACGAGCUGGAUGAGCAUUGGGACCUUCGGCGUAUUUUCAUGGAACUACAUCAACACUGAAUUCCGGACGACGAACUCGUAUGUUUGCUCAGUGUUUGUGUAUGUAGAAUUGCUACACUUUCGCUACUCCCCAGAGACGAUGGAACGUCUUAAGCAGCUGUUGGACGGGGUUGCCAAUAAGAAGAAAUUAGCUUCAGCGAACAUUCGUUUCGGCUUCGAAUGCUGCUGCAUCCGAAGUACAACGGAAAGGACCGGAAGAUCAGGUUUCUCACAGCGGUGCUCUACUGCGAACGGAAUACUCGAGUAAGUUUAAGCAUGUGCAGCUUCACAUGUCGAGAAAUGCCGGAGGGUAAAUCUUGAGCCAAACAAAGGUGGGAACGCUUGUACUGAUUGACGCGAUAGGCGAUUCGGAUAAGCCGGUUAGAAAAAAUGUAAAGAUCUCAUUCCUGAAAAAGAUGAUUAACCAUUGCUACAAAAUUGUUCGGAAAAAGCAAUCCGUCAAUCUAGACAACGAAAGCGUCGAAUGUAAAGAAAUUGACGAAACUGUAGACCGCCGGGUCAUAUAGUUGAUGACUUUAAGGAGAAGAAAAUCGACGAAAGCAAUUUGGGAUUCAAGUAGCUUCAGAAGAUUGGUUGGAGCGGCGGUUCAUUAGGAUCUAGGAACUGUUUCUCACAGUUGAUCCCAUCAAUUGUCAAAUCAAGAUAGGACGCCGAGGUCUUGGUGGUAGAUCUGCUGAAACAAUGAAACAAAACAAGAAAACCGUCAAAAUUGAUACCCGCAACGAAUCCUACGAAAUUGAUAUCAACUUCUAUCGGUGGACUAUGCAGAAUUUUCGAGACAAUGGCAUACGAUUUAGUAUUCAGCAAUGAGUUUCAUAAGAACGCACAUUUUUUGUAUUGCAAACGUAUUUAAAAUCAAUCCAUAAAUACAUAAAUCGUGCUCUCCACAACUACCUUCGACUCUUCUUGGGAUUUAGUUCCACCAUUUAUCUCCUAAUUUUUUAGCAUCUUUCUGAUCAAUCUAUUUUUCUCCACCCAAAGGUAUCUCUGUGGGAGAAACCACUGAAACAUCAGUAUCAAUUCGAGCCAAUUCUACACCAAAAGGUUCUAUCGCGGAAAAAAAUUUCAUUCUUCAGCUGAUCAAAUUGUUCAUCUCGUUCAGGUAUCGUUGAUAUCGUUUCAUGUUUAAUCUUUAUUCCACGUUCUCCAUUAGACGAGUUUAACGGGAGAACCUCCUCCAUAUAAUCUUCCAUUAGUCGUUCAAUGGGAUUAGACACGAUUGGUAUUGGUGGGACAUUCCGGCGGUCUUUUUCGUUCUCCCGAAACGUUCUAAUUAAAGAGUCGAUGAUCUGUUGACGUUCACGCCAAGUGUGAAACUCUUCUAGUUUUGUUAGACAUAGCUCAUAUGCAAAAUUGUUGUAUACUCAGUCUUGAAAGGUAGUUGAAUGCCAGCAAUUUCCUUAUUAAGCCAUUUUAAACGACGAUUAUACAAGGGUGAUGGAAGUGGAUGCAGUGCAGACAUCAGAGCAAUGUUCUCUUGACAUAGACGACAGGUUUUUCCAUAUCCAUAUAUUGGCUCUGCCGCAGGAAGUUACUAUUAUCUACAUUUUCAAAUUUUGCAUCUACUACAUUUAGGAAACUUUCAGUUGUAUCCAAGCAGAGGCUUGGAACCCACUCGACAUCAGCAAAAUCAUAUGGACUCGCAGUUCUUCCUGUAAAAGUUACUCAUAAAAUAAAAGAAACAAAACGAAUUAUGAUACAAACCGUUGACGAAAUGUUUCUUGCAAAUCCAAAGCGAUCUUGUGUCCGAUUUAGAGGAGAAGCUCGAAGUGGAUGAGCAAGUUGCUACCCAAGUUGAGGAUUGAAUCACGUCGACAAUAUUUGGAAAAACGCGAAGUUGAUAAGGUUGCAGAACUUGAAGCCAACGAUGUUGUUGAAGCGGUCAUUCUGAUGAUUAGUAUCAAAUUGAGGCAUCGGAGAUAGGAGCGGGAACUGCAGGAUCGGGAUUCAAACUCUGUGGCAGAAGCAUAGUUUUUGCUAUAUCCCGGUCGGAUGAUGGAAAAUCUUAAUGUGCUGCUGUGAAAUGUUACUGAAGAACGCUGAAAUUGUGGUUGUUUGCUGCUGUUGCGGUUGGGAUGGCUGAAUUAUUAUCGGCAUUAAGACAGACCUGUUUUGAGGUAAAGAACUUGUAGAAACCAAGACUGGGACUUGACAAAGCUGCGUUUUUGUGUAUGGCUCCGAUUUUACUAAACCAGGAGACCCCCGAAGGUUACACUGAUGGUUUGCUGCAAGUUGUAGAAAAUGCAUCUAGUUGGUGGUUUCAAGUACCAAUUAUUUAAAAUCAAAGAUCAGGCAUUGAUUAUGCAGCUACUGACUAGUGACGAAAUUAUCGACUUCUCGAAAGAUCGUGCCAUGUUAAUACGUUCCCAUGAGUCGAUUACUUUGGACGCCUAUCAAGAAACCGUAUUCAUCAGGACCGUAAUAUUUGACGACUCCGCGAUAGUAUGCACGUGCGCAUGCAUCACAAAAAGGAUCGAAACGCAUGCUUAAAUCAACUCGAUUAUGCCAUCUAGGUAUUAAUCAAAUCGGUCGCAGACUAUCGCUAUUUGCUAUCGACUUGCAAGCAGCGAGGACGAACGGCCUUCACGAGACGUUGCUCACAUGGAUGCUUCGGAAGAUAUUCUUACUCAUGAUCCCGGCUCCGGAAGCACGGCGACUACAGUAAAUAACGCACAUACACCAAGACUGUAUCGGAAGCGCAAAUUGACUGAAAACCGGGCGUUGUUCGGAAGCAGCACCGAUCGUACUAUAGGAUCCGAAAUCGUAGGCGGUAUGGGGAAUCACUGUGACAACACAAGCUCGGAGUCCCUCAUCUUUAGUAAACGUAAACGGUUAGCUUUAGAUAGUACCAGUUCGCCGAGAACUUUACUUAGUACAUCUAAUCUUACUACAACGCAAACAUCCUCAACGAUGGGAGAGCGAAAGACCCCUAAGAUAAUCCUCCUCCUGAGGUAAACGAUUGGUUGCAAAAAUUCAAGCGAUGGACUCCCGUCGAACGGCUGGUUGCAGUAGAUCUGCUGAUUGAACAUUGCGACCCGACCCAGGUGCGGCACAUG